GCCAGGAGAAGGAAAUUCACAGGGUUAAUCACUCAGUUAAGGUGGGGCAAGAACAAAUCACCAUGGUGGAAUGUCAUCAGUUAAGGCGGGGCAGGGCCUUUUCAGUUCUUUUGUGAUUCUUCAGUUACUUCAGGCCAUCUGGGCGUAUACGUGCAAGUCACAGGGGAUGCGAUGGCUUGGCUUGGGCUCAGAGGCCUGACAUUCCUGCCUUCUUAUAUUAAUAAGAAAAAUAAAACAAAAUUGUGUUGAAGUGUUGGGGCGGUGAAAAUUUUUGGGGGGUGGUAUGGAGAGAGAAUGGGCGAUGUUUCUCAGGGCUGCUUCAAGCGGGAUUAGGGGCGGCGUGGGAACCUAGAGUGGGAGAGAUUAAGCUGAAGGGAGGUCUUGUGGUAAGGGGUGACAUUGAGGGGGUUGUUAGAAGAAACAUUUGUCAUACAGAAAGAUUGGUGAUGGCCUGGAUACGGUUUUGUAUGAACUGAAAAACUAAAUGGAAUAAGAGAAGGAGAAAAACAGGUAUAAAAGGACUAAGAAUUGGGAGGAUCUAGGACAUCUAAUUAGAGAAUGCCUAAGGAGGUUCAGCAUAGUCCUUCCAGCGAAGAUUAUUUAUUUACUUCAAGAGUUAAGAGUGGCAGUUUGGGGAUAGCAUGAGGAGAUAUCAGCCAUGAUGGCUUGGAGAAACAGUGUAAACUGGCAGUGUAAACAAGAGCAGGGCAUGUAUGAGUAGUUGAGAACGGAGAAUAGGAGUAUGACUAGACGGAAAAUAGUAGGGAUGACAAGUUUUUUUGGGGGCACAGUCUAAGUUGGUCUGGUGUCUGGGAUGAGACUGGGGCCUAAUAAAAAGGAGCUUAAAUGGACUGUACCUUGUAGCAUUCUGAGGACAGGUCUGACUUCUGAGAAGGGAAAGUGGUAAAAGUAUUGUCCAGUUCUUUUUAAGUUGGUGGCUGAGCUUGGUGAGGUGUGUUUUUAAAAGACCUUUAGUCCGUUCUACUUUUCUUGAAGACAGAGGACUAUAAGGGAUAUAAACUGAAAAACUGCUUGGCUAAUUUGACUAAUAAAGCCUGGUCUGUUAUCAGACUGUAUAGAGGUGGGAAGGCUAAACUGAGGAAUUAUGUCUGACAGAAGGGAAGAAAUGACUGCGGUGGCCUUCUCAGACCCUGUAGGAAAGGCCUCUACCUAUCUAGUGAAAAUGUCUACUUAGACUAAGAGGUAUUUUAGUUUUUGUGACUCGGGGCAUGUGGAGUAAAGCUAAUUUGCCAGUCCUGGGCGGGGGCAAAUCCUCGAGCUUGAUGUGUAGGGAAGGGAGGGGCCUGAAUGAUCCUUGAGGAGUAGCAGAAUAGCAGAUAGAAUAGCAGAUGGAACACUGAGAAGUUAUUUCCUUGAGGAUAGAUUUCUACAAUGGAAAGGAAAUGAGAGGUUCUAAGAGAUGGGCUAGUGGCUUGUAAUAUGGGGAAAUGGGGUGAAUGUCAGGUGGAUCAGAGAGAUGCAGUCAUGGGGAUCAGGUGUGGUAUCAGGAAUAAUGUGGGAGGCCAGAUUGAAGUCUGGGCCAGGAACAAUGGUAAUUGUGGGACUUAACAAAGAAUGAGUACAGCUGAAGGAGCCGGGGAGCAGAAAGUAUAUGCGUCAGGUAUGAGGAAGAAAAUAGAUUUUGGAAGUUAUGAGAAAUGUAGAGAGUGAGUUGAACAUAGUUUGUGAUUUUUAGGGCCUCUAAAAUUAUUAAAGCAGCGGCAGCUGCUGCAUGCAGACAUGAGGGCUAGGCUAAAACAGUAAGGUCAAGUUGUUUGGACAGAAAGGCUACAGGGUGGGGUCCUGGCUCUUGUGUAAGAAUUCUGACCGCACUAACCAUGCCUAGGAAGGAAAGGAGUUGUUGUUUUGUAAGGGAUUGAGGUUUGGGAGAUUAAUCAGACACCAUCAGCAGGGAGAGCACCUGUGUUUUUGUGAAGAAUUAUGCCGAGGUAGGUAACGGAUGGAGAAGAAAUUUGAGCUUUGGAGGGGGAUACCCGAUAUCCUUUGGAGAAUAAAUGCUGAAGGAGCAGAAGUAUGUCUUGUUGAGAAGAUUCAAAGGAGGGGCUACAAAGAAGAAGGUCAUCAAUAUAUUGAAUAAGGUGAGAAGUGGAGGGGUGGAAAGAAAGUAGAUCAUGAGAAAGAGCUUGGCUGAAGUAAUGAGGGCUGUCCCUGGAACCUUGCGGCAGCACAGCCCAGACCCUUCUCCAAUCCAUGUGGCGACAUUGAGUUUGCUCUCCGUAGCCUUGCCCGUCUACAGACUCAUUCCCCAAAUACCACCUGCCAUGUGUUAGGCUGUCAG
rnacentral:lncRNA from 10 species